rnacentral:rRNA from 1 species
CCGGCACGGUGAGUAACACGUAUCCAACCUGCCGUCUACUCUUGGACAGCCUUCUGAAAGGAAGAUUAAUACAAGAUGGCAUCAUGAGUCCGCAUGUUCACAUGAUUAAAGGUAUUCCGGUAGACGAUGGGGAUGCGUUCCAUUAGAUAGUAGGCGGGGUAACGGUCCACCUAGUCUUCGAUGGAUAGGGGUUCUGAGAGGAAGGUCCCCCACAUUGGAACUGAGACACGGUCCAA